CCGUUCAGUUUUUACAUUAUCUAUUACAUCAGUAAUUAAUUUAGUCAGGAUAACUACCAAAUAUGGUAAUGGCCCUCGGCUAAACACAGAGCCAAUCCGCCAUUUUUUCUUCUCGCUAAGAUUUUUUGUAGUCCUAUUGGAAAAAUGCAGAAUGUCUGGUUAUUUUAGCCACACACAGCUCAAAACUGUUCCUCGUUUUAAGGAAGGGUGGUGUGGCAGUAUUUAAACCCAGGAGCUGAUGACACUACUGCUAAAAAAACACAGAAGAAAAAGUAGUGUGUUUGUGUUUGUGUUUGUGUGUGUGUGUGUGUGCGCGCGCGUGCGCGUGGUUCGUUCGUUCGUGUCUCCAGGCUAGUAAGUACUGAGGGCUUCAUCUAUCUAAAAGGAGUCAUUUGCAUCUGAAUGUGGCAGCACCGGGACACAGCAGCAGAGCGAGUCAACAUCCAGAAGACUGGAGCCGUGUUUCACUGACAGGCUGUCAGACUAACGCCCUGAUGAGCUCAGCUGGGACAAACUGGUCUGAUGUUUAGGAACACAGAACGUUCAGAUGUUGGCGUUUCACGUCACCUACUGAGGAAGGAGACCCACCAGUAAAGAGACGGUCUGGACCAGACCAAAAAUAUGACGAUGACAUCAUGGAACUGGUCUUUGGAAAAGUUUUCCCUGAACCAACUCCAUUUCUAGAUGACGUAGAGAAGAUCUGCAUCUCACCAACCCUCUGGUCUCAGUAUUCAGACAACGGAGGUCUCCCACUGUUAUCCAGGACCAGUUUGAAGCCCACAUACUGCCCCUCCCUCAUCAUCAGGAAACAUCAAUCCGUAUCCUGAGGACAACAGAAGACGGCAGGAGGACAGGAACUCUGAGACCUAGAUACCACCAGCACCGAGACACAAAGCACCUGUGUGCACAACGCCUGUUUAACUACUAAAACCUGUUUAUUAUAUUGUUCUACUUAUUUGCUGUGAGGUUAAUACUUAGAAAAUUUGUAUAUUAAUGUAAACAAUUUAAAAAAAUCACUGAUUGUAUGUUUUCUUUUAGAUGUAAUGGUCCAAACUCAGCCUUGUAGACAUUUAUUGCAUCCUGUAGGUAAAUACACAGAACAGGCUCAGGUCCAGGAUGACCCAGCAUGCUCUUCUUCCAUUCUGGCUGUUAGGGAUUGUAUCAAUAACUCAAUGCCUACUGAUGUUUCCACCUAACGGUAUUUAUUUAGAAUGCAGGUAAGAUUUAACUAUAUUUGUUAGCAAAGCAGACUGAUCUUGGGAAUUUCACUGCAGCACUGAUGUCCACCUCUCUGUACACAUUAGAGAGAAUUACCACUUUACAGCUAAACACAUUUAAUAAAGAUAUAGGCUACGCAUUGCAGACAAUAAAAACAAAGUUGUAAGCAUUAGAAUUAUAAUGAUCACAUUAAAGAACAUUUGGAGGAAUGUUCUUUAUUUUUGACUCGAAUCUCAAAUCUUUAAAUUUAAAUGUAACUGCUUUUUAUCCAUUUUCAGCCAUUAAGACACCCAAAAUUAAAAUAAGACUACUUAUAAAAUUAUUUAUAAUUAUAUGUAUGUAUAUAUAUAUAGAGAUCUUAAUAAAAUGUAUUCUUUUAAUGGUGUUUUAAUGAGCUGUAUCAUUUUUUAAAACAUUUUUUAUAGAAAUAAAUAAGCAAGCAGCA